AGAGCACUCAGUCGGUCCCUGACAAUCACACUGAGCACGCUGUCAUGAGAAGGGGACUUCGCAGUACCAAAAUAAAGAUGAGAGAAGGACUGAUGGGCAGCACAGAGGAGUGUCAGUAAUUCCAUCUGUGAAGGGGAAGAGUGUGGGACACAGAAUCAGGCCCUUUGAAACAGAACAGCAACCCAGGACUCCCAUCUAGUGACAAAAAGCUGGCAGACAAAUGAAUGUUCCAGCUAUGGGAAUUCUGCCUUGAUUUAAAACCUGCUUCCGCAUGGCCGGGGGAAAUGCUGUGAAAGGGGAGGACUGUUUGUGUGUGUGUGUGUGUGUGUGUGUGUGUG